CCUUUACAACAGCAACCAGGGACUACUGUGCCUCUUGUGCCACCAUCUUCAAGCAUGCAAUCCAUGUCCCAAUCGAACCAGAUACAAACUUCAUUUGGUACGUUGCCUCCAUUGCCACCUCCACCACCUCUAUCUCCAGCCAAUGCACCUGCUAAUCAAUUUGUCCAGUCUUCUGGUAUGGUGAUUGGGGCAAUGCCUUUUGGAUAUGGAACUAAUGCACUACCACCCCCACCUCCACUACCCCCACAUAUUGCAAUGGGAUUGGCA
rnacentral:misc_RNA from 1 species